UACGGAGACUGCAAGCGUUACUCGGAUUCAUUGGGUUUAAAGGGUCCGUAGGCGGAUUUUUAAGUCAGUGGUGAAAGCCGACAGCUCAACUGUCGAACUGCCAUUGAUACUGGAAAUCUUGAGUACAAAUGAAGUAGGCGGAAUGAGUCAUGUAGCGGUGAAAUGCAUAGAUAUGACUCAGAACACCGAUUGCGAAGGCAGCUUACUAACAUGUAACUGACGCUGAGGGACGAAAGCGUGGGGAGCGAACAGG
rnacentral:rRNA from 1 species